rnacentral:rRNA from 1 species
AACGAACGCUGGCGGCAGGCCUAACACAUGCAAGUCGAGCGAGGACUUCGGUCCUAGCGGCGGACGGGUGAGUAACACGUGGGAACGUGCCCUUUGCUUCGGAAUAGCCCUGGGAAACUGGGAGUAAUACCGGAUGAGCCCUUUGGGGGAAAGAUUUAUCGGCGAAGGAUCGGCCCGCGUUGGAUUAGGUAGUUGGUGGGGUAAUGGCCUACCAAGCCGACGAUCCAUAGCUGGUUUGAGAGGAUGAUCAGCCACACUGGGACUGAGACACGGCCCAGACUCCUACGGGAGGCAGCAGUGGGGAAUCUUAGACAAUGGGGGAAACCCUGAUCUAGCCAUGCCGCGUGAGCGAUGAAGGCCUUAGGGUUGUAAAGCUCUUUCAGCUGGGAAGAUAAUGACGGUACCAGCAGAAGAAGCCCCGGCUAACUCCGUG